rnacentral:rRNA from 1 species
UACGAAGGGGGCUAGCGUUGUUCGGAAUUACUGGGCGUAAAGCGCGCGCAGGCGGUCUUCCAAGUCAGUGGUGAAAGCCUGGAGCUCAACUCCGGAACUGCCAUUGAAACUGUGAGACUUGAGGAUGAGAGAGGUGAGUGGAAUUCCCAGUGUAGAGGUGAAAUUCGUAGAUAUUGGGAAGAACACCGGUGGCGAAGGCGGCUCACUGGCUCAUUUCUGACGCUCAGGCGCGACAGCGUGGGGAUCAAACAGG